GCCUGAGCAUUCAUGGAUUUUGGCAUCUCUAAGGGAGGUCCUGGAACCCAACUCCAGUGGACACCAAGGACCCACUGUAUUUAAGCAUUAUGGGGAUGACAAGGGAUCCUAUGCUGUGGGGCAAUAGCUGUAUUGAGAAGGGAUGGCCGGACUUGACCUUUGGGGUUUGGAAGGUGAAUGUGAAGACAGGGACUGGACAUCUGAUGGCCCCUUGGGAAGACGGUGUGGUGUUCCUCAUUAAACAAGCAGUUUACUUUCUGACAAAACUCUUCUGAUCUGCUCCUAAAGAUAAGAAUCUUGUUUAGUUAUGACACCAGUGUAAUCCUGGUUACCAGCAAUAAUCCACUACAAGCAAUACAUCCGCUACAAGCAAUAAAGGGAAGAAGGAAAGAAAAACAAAAUGGGCAUAGGCACAAACUAAGAACCAUGAAUACAACAGUACAAUGGCACAAAGAGUGAAAUGACAACUGCUGAUUUAGAAAAGACAAGGUGUUAUGUGUCUUUGCUAUAUUAGUGCAAAACAAUAAAGAAAACU